rnacentral:lncRNA from 1 species
AUUAAUUAUUAAAAUUAAUUAUUAAAAUUAACACAUUAAAAUUAAUUAAGCAAUUUAGGGUGAGCCUCCACAAGGGUAUCCCACAAAUAAAGUGGAAGACCUAACGGCGGUCUUUUUUUCUGGGACAUAUGAACCUUUGCAAAAUUCAACAAACGGGUUAGCAUACCAAAUCAGGGUGCAAUCGAGGAUUACACCGCAACAGAAAUCACAACAGUAAUAGGAUCAAAUAAACAAUGCCUGGCCAUGAUAAAACAUGAAUGAAAAGUCAUAACAGAAAAGCUGGCUACUGUCAGGUUCGCGCCUGCCUCGCCUAGCGAAGGCCUAGCGAAUACUCGCUACAUGCUCGCUUAGCGAUGUGCUAGCGAGCGGCUGCGGGUUUUGAAUUUCAGAAUAGUAUGACUUCAACCUGCAGCAUGGCUUAUGGCAUCCAACACAUAAUUACAUGGUUCAGCAUUCACAAUAUUCAGGCACACUUAAAUUCACAUGCAAAACCUCAAAUAUGUUUAUGAAUUCAAUUAUAAUAUCACAUGCAAAUUACGAACAUAAAGCGGUAUCACAUGCAAAUUAAGAAAAUAAAGUGAUAAUAGUAGUGCAAACCUGUUUGCAAUGGAGUGGUAAUGCUGAAUUGGCGAGCCGGAUUGAGUUGGACGGAGGUAGCUUUGCGGCCGCCGGCUUUUCCUUCAGGGUUUUCCGACUGUGAGCGCUAGGGUUUGCUUGCUAGGGUUCUCCUUUUUCUUUUUCGUUCUCCUUUUCAUUACUGAAGUGCUGGUAUUUAUAAUGCCCUUUUUCAUGACCUAAUGGGCUCAGAACGAAGCCCGAAAUUUUUUGUUGUCUGUCAGCCUCGCUAGGCGAGCUGGUAGCGAACGCGUAGCGAACGUUCGCUAGGCGAGCUGGUAGCGAACGUAACGUUCGCUAGGCGAGCGUGUAGCGAACAGGCCAGUUUGGGCCAUUUUCUGGAUUGGGCCAUUCGUGAGCUGGGCCUUUGUUCCUUUAAGAUCAGUGCCUUGCAAAAUACGUUGGAAUGCCUUUAGAAGUCCUUUGGAAUAUUAACGGGCAAAUUUUGGGGUAUGACAGAUAUGGAUAUAAUUGUAGGGGUACGAGGUAAAACUUUCCCGCCCCAUUGUGUAAUCCGCCCGCGGGUAUUUUUGUUUUGGCUUGGUGGACAAAACGGGUAAGCGAACUCAAAAUCUCGACUCAACCCUUCAUUUUUUGCUGAGUGUCCGGGCCGGUCCAGCUGCCUCCCGAUCCGUUUUGCCACCACUAAUUUUAAUUACAUUGUCAAAUAUUUUGUGCGUAAAAAAUAUCAUAAUCUUUUGUAACUAGGGACAAUUGUGUUUAUUGAAACUCUGAUUUUUUUUAACGUUAAUCUUUUGGACCAGUUUAAAAAAAAGCGUGUACAAUUGUUUAUUAAGUGUGCGUUUUAAGACUUCUAGGUCUAGUUUAGGACCCGUUUAACACUAUUUUAAUUUUUAAAAA